rnacentral:misc_RNA from 1 species
AAACUGCGAUACGUAGUGUGAAUUGCAGAAUUCAGUGAAUCAUCGAAUCUUUGAACGCAAAUUGCGCUGCUGGGCAAUCCCGGCAGCAUGCCUGGCUGAGUAUCAUCUGGACAAAUCGAAUUAAUUUUUUUUAAUUCGGAAAUGAGGCUGUCGCACGCCAACACAAAUGCGUGGGUCCCUUUAAGUUCAGUUAAGGUACAAAGCAUGUUUUCAAUGCAUGUCGUUUAUACCUGCCAGUGUGUCAAUUGUUUGCGGUGUAAUUCUUACAUACGCACAACAUUUAGCACUGUUGUAGGUGAUGUGCACUUGUCAUGCUUCUUUACCACAUUAAAAAUCAAUUGAUGUUUUUACAACAAAUAUCAAAACUUUGAUCUCAGCUCAAGCAAGACUACCCGCUGAA